AUUAAGAAAAUAAAAAUUAAAUAUCGGAGAGAGCGCGCACGCCGUUGUCUUUCUUCCCCAUCUCUCCAGUGCGACUUCCAAGAGUCCUGCGUACCCUUCGUCGUCACCUCCCCUUUCAGAAGGAAACGUGCUGGUGCCCUCGUUUCUGCCCCGGGCCAAACGUACCCCUUUAUUUCCGUAGCACAUGCACAGGCACACCUCACACGCGGACACACGCACACAUGCGCGCACACUCAAACCCCUCCCCUCGGCGGGCUUCCCCUCGAGGCUUUGGGGUUGAACUCGCUGCGGGUACCCCAGACUGCCUCGCGUCAGGGCCUCCGAAGUCGUUUCUCUCACGACCUCCAAGUGCCCUCCCCAGGUCUUGGUCCAGCCGCUCGGCUUCCUCGAGAGCCCCUCAUUCCGAGCGCGAAGCCCUGCUCUUCGAACCCUGCCCGGCAGGGUGACGACCUCCCCCGCCCCCGGGACGCCGCUCGCUGCCUCCGACGAACCCCGCCCGUGCCCCGAGCCUCGCCGCGGAAGCCGAGUCCCGGGGAGCGCACCCAAGGCAGCAGCUCCGAGAGGGGUCUCCAGACGCCCGCGCGUCCGGGAAGGGGCUGUGGCUCCCGGAAAGGCGCCGUCCUCCCCCUUCCCGCCCCAUCCGGCCCAAGGGUUGGGGUUCCCGCGUCCUACAGCAGCCAAGCCCUGGCGCCCAGGCCGGCAAGGGGCGGACCAGGCCGGAAGAGCGAGAUCUGGGCAGGAUUGUGGAAAGAUUGUGGAAAGAAAGAAAAGCUUUCAAUGAUGUGGAUCGUUUGGAAUGACUUCACUUUGGCUCAAAGGCAGGAUAUCGUUUGAAGCCGAGCUCGUACCAGCAAAGGGAAGGUAUUUUCUUCCCUCCCUCUGCCCCCUCCUGGCCCCUCCCCUCCCCCCUCCUCUCUUCCCCCAGACGAUAUCCGUAUGAAUGGGAAAUAACAGACAGAGUGUUCUCAGGUCUCACCAUCUAUUACUUAACAAAAAUCGGCACAGGAUAGUUCAGUGCAGCCUGAGAUGCACUUUUGAGAAGAGCUGUAAGGUUGCAGGAGACAGUAAGAAAAUAGAGUCGCUAUUGAAGCUAAAGUCACGCGAAUACCUGGAUGACAACAGCCACUUUAGUCCGAUGAUAAGGGCAUCCUAUUUGGUUAAAAGGGGCAGUGAUAAGGAAAUGCUUCUAUUGAAAUUAGUAAAACAUGAAAGCAUACUUUCAAAGCCUAAGGUUAGAAAAAGAAAAAUAAAGCUGUAGAAAGAUGGACUUAAAGUUCAGAUUUGGUAAGUAUCAUUUUAUUUUAUUUAGUAUAAAAACAUGAAUUCUAUGGGGACUUUUUGUUGACCCUUUUUAUAACCCAGGGAAGUAUAGCAGUGUAUUACAUCUAUUCCAUCCUUAUCUAUUGACCUAUUUUAUUCACUGAUUUCUCAAGUGGGGAAACUGACUAAAUGAUUUCCCAAAGCUUUCUCUGUAAUCAAUAGUCAUUUUUUAGGUUUAUUCAUGCUGCAUUAUAAUUCUGGUAAAUGCCUGCAAAGCAGAAGAUUGUAAGAAAGAUACAAAUAUUGACAAAGCCAGGAUAAGUCAUUUCUUUAAAUCUUCAGGGUCUCAAUAUAGCAAUUGAUAGUGUUACUUUAAAAAAAAAAAAAAGUGAAAAUGCAUCUUUCCUAGAAUGUGAAAAAGUGACUGUUCAAGUAACUUAAAGGCAAUGCAUACCUGAACAUAUUUCUUGAAUAUCUCAUUUUCCUGAAAGCUUUGAAUAUCCUCUUCUUACAGUAUCAUUAAAUGAAACAGAAACAGGUUGGAGAUAUACAGAAAGGACAACAAUAAAAGAUACAUUAUUUAUUCCCAUAAUUUCCCCCCAAGUUCUGUUAGAAACAUGCACAGAAAAAUACAGAUAUAUACCCCGGAUAUAUACUGAAUUCCUCUCAGUGACAGGACAAGGAGAUAACAUGUUUAAUAGAUUCAAAGGGAGAUUUACCAUUCAGAGCACGACGUCACUCUAAUUAUGUUUACUCUAAUUGAAAGCAAGGUUUUUUGGAAUCUGAAAUUACUUUCAGAAUUUUUUUUUUAAAUAAUGCAACUGGAUCAAAUGUUGAUCACAAGCAUUUCAAUCUUUCGAAAUGUAUUGGAAAAUUAAAUGAAAAGUGGAGUUUGGUACAAACAAUGCCCCAGGGCAAAAAACAACUAACACUAGAUUUUCCAGUCCAGCCAUAACACAAAUCAAUUUGAGCACACUUCUAUGGCCAGACUGCCAGAUUGUUAUGACUGCUAAUUCACUCAAUCAAAGAGUGCAUUAGCACACCCGGCACAAAUAGCUUUAACAAUAGAGUGCACUUCUGAACAAUUCUAAGAUAUAUCACAACGGAGAAAUAACGAGGAAGAUUAUUUUUACAUCUGCAUAUUUACUAAUAUAUCAGUUUCCUUAACAGGGAAAAAAAAAAAAAAAAGACAGGUAAGCUUCAGGCAUAAGUUUAUUAAAGAGCUAUCAAAGUUUGGCAAAUCUAGAAAGAUAUCAAGGUACCAGUAGUUCACUGACUUUGUUAAACGUUUCUCAGGAGAGAGCCCAAAAUUGAUGUUUGCACUUCAGUAGUAAAUCAUUGAAGAUGGAGAAAUUAUGCCAAGUAACUCUCUCAAGCCUUUUUAACUCAGAUGCACGGCCUCACCAAUCAACUCAGCAGAUAAACCUCAACUACCUUAAGCAAAGACUUCCCUGCUUUUACACUUUCAGUCUUUGCUCUACUCCUUUGGUGUUCCAACUUCUGGCUUUUGAUGGCUCAUCCAUUGUCUCCCCCUUUCUUUUCCAAACCCCUGCCUUCCUCAAAAACUGAGACUUUUAUCACACUGAUGCAUUCUCUAAUCAAGCACAGAGAGCUUGGUGAUGAAUUACCCAAAGGACAGAAGGUGGGAAGCUGAAGGUGAAAACAGCAUAACUUGAAGCACUCAAACUAUAUAUUAUAAACUUCCAUGCUUAAUAAAGAAGUGGUUAAAAUGGUUAUAAAUAAUUCUGAUUUGUUUUACACCAUGGAAAUGCUUGGUGUGUAUAUAUGCUUACUGAAUGGUUAUCACAAUUGUAUAUUCACAUUCAUGUUUACAUGGAUCCCAGAGACAAAUGGUGCAAUUUGGCACCACGGGUCCUCCCUUCCUGACCUUCUAGCCCCACCUCCUUGUCUACUGGUUCAGAAUGAAGGUGACAUAUGGCAGAGAAUACUUUGCUGAUUAUGGAGCAUAGUUUUAAAAACCUCUAAGCUCAUGUUGAAGGAGGGAAAAUAGCAACAGGAAUAGACACCAAAAAAAAAAGUCAUCAUAAUUUUAUUUUUACUAUAAACUGUGCCUUUUCCAUGACCAGUAGUUAACUCUCCAUGAUAGUUUAGUUAUACUUUCAUAUCACUAGUUCUUGUGUAAGUAUCCUUAAUUCCAUCUGUGAGUUGGUAUUAAGGGAUGCACAACCAAAUAAUUUAAAAAAAAAAAACACAAUACCCAGUAAGAUAAUUUUAGAGUUAGACUGAAAAAGGAGAGAUUAACAAGAAUAAUAUAAAUUGAGACUAAUUCCCUUCAUCUCAUAUAGCAGGCCACUUUGAGAGGAAUGGCAGACUAGAUUUAAGUAAGGUCAAAAAGUGAGGCAGAUAUUUAAACCCCUAGUUUUCCAGUAAAUAUUAUAACGUUUAAUUUUUUUGUAUGUGAUAUUUUCUAAUUGUCAUAUUCCUUUCUCUUAAGUAACCAAAACUCUUUUUCCUUUAAGGAAGAUCAAUACAAAGAUAAAUGAAUUCCUAAGUGUAAUUAGAAGUGAGGGUGAGAAAAAAAUGUAAAUGAAUGUUUAAUAUUAAAGCAAAUUAUUGUAAAAUUUUGUAAUGUUAGGAGAAAUGUAUUAAACUUAAUUAUAAAAGUUUGUAUUGAUUCACUGCUUUGUUUUUGGUUGUUGUUUUUGUUUUAACUUAUGAGCUUUGCUCUUGUUCUUGCUCUUUUCUUUAUUGAAUAAAAGAAGAGGUCAUUGUCCAACAA
rnacentral:lncRNA from 1 species